CCUACGGGAGGCAGCAGUGAGGAAUAUUGGUCAAUGGACGCAAGUCUGAACCAGCCAUGCCGCGUGCAGGAAGACGGCUCUAUGAGUUGUAAACUGCUUUUGUACGAGGGUAAAUCCCGAUACGUGUAUCUGGUUGAAAGUAUCGUACGAAUAAGGAUCGGCUAACUCCGUGCCAGCAGCCGCGGUAAUACGGAGGAUUCAAGCGUUAUCCGGAUUUAUUGGGUUUAAAGGGUGCGUAGGCGGUUGGAUAAGUUAGUGGUGAAAUCUCGGGGCUCAACUCCGGCACUGCCUCUGAUACUGGCGGGCUAGAGUAUAGUUGAGGUAGGCGGAAUGUAUGGUGUAGCGGUGAAAUGCAUAGAGAUCAUGAAGAACACCGAUUGCGAAGGCAGCUUACCAAACUACGACUGACGUUGAGGCACGAAAGCGUGGGGAGCAAACAGGAUUAGAUACCCGAGUAGUC
rnacentral:rRNA from 1 species